UCCCUGAUAGCUCAGUUGGUAGAGCAAUGGACUGUUAAUCCAAGUGUCCCUGGUUCAAAUCCAGGUCAGGGAG
rnacentral:tRNA from 1 species